AAACUAACAAGGAUUUCCCUAGUAGUGGCGAACGACCGGGAAUUAGCCCAGCACCGAAUCCUGUAUGUUUCAUACUAGGAAUUGUGGUGUAAAGGUUGUAUCUUUAGUGGGUGGCGCAUGCUCCAAAUUCACUUGAUUGUGAUGUUGUCCAGAGAGGGUGUUAGACCCGUUGAAGUGUGCUAGCUCAUUAUUGGUGCUUCCUAUGAGUCGGAUUGUUUGAGAAUGCAGUCCAAAUUGGGUGGUAAACUCCAUCUAAGGCUAAAUACUUGUAUGAGUCCGAUAGCAAACAAGUACCGUGAGGGAAAGUUGAAAAGAACUUUGAAGAGAGAGUUAAAUAGUACGUGAAAUCGCUUAGAGGUAAACGAGUGGAGCCGAAAAAGUCGUAUGGGAUUCAGUUGCGUGUGCGAUGACAAUUGAUUUAGUGACAACCACAAAUGGCAUCAUUGAAUUGAUUAGUUGUUGUGCAUACAAUGCACUUUCUGUUCGAUCAAACUGUGACCAAUAGAGUUGUUUCAAUAUCGUGAUGGUGAAGGUGACCAGUUGCUUGCGAUUGGUUUUAUAGCUCAUUACAUGUUGAAAUAAUGUAUUGGUAAAUAGGCAAUCAGUUAACGUUGGCAAUCCGUUAUCAGUAUGGUUUCGUAGUGGACUACAUGUAGACUAUUAUGAAAAUGUAUCGGUAUUGGGUUGUUGAUAGAUUGAUUUAAAGUCACAGUAUAAUGUAGGUUAUCUACUCGUCCCGUCUUGAAACACGGACCAAGGAGUUUUAUAUGAUCGCGAGUCAAAGGGCUAUACGAAACCCCAGGGCGCAAUUAAUGUAAAGGUUUACUUUAGUAAGAUCUGUGAUAUGACCUGACAUUGAAUGUCAGUGCAAUAUCGACCCGUCUAAAGAUGUUCGCAUCUGGGCGGAGUUUGAGCGAUCAUGUAGAGACCCGAAAGAUGGUGAACUAUGCUUGUGCAGGUUUGAAGUCAGAGGAAACUCUGAUGGAGGACCGCCGCGGUUCUGACGUGCAAAUCGAUCGUCGGACAUGAGUAUAGGGGCGAAAGACUAAUCGAACCAUCUAGUAGCUGGUUCCCUCCGAAGUUUCCCUCAGGAUAGCUGGCGUUUGUUGUCGUAGUUUGACCUGGUAAAGCGAAUGAUUAGAAGUAUUGGGGGCGAAAUGCCCUCAACUUAUUCUCAAACUUUAAAUGGGUUCGAUGUAUGACUCGCUUCAUUGGAGUUAUACGUUGAAUACGAAUGCCUAGUGGGCCAUUUUUGGUAAGCAGAACUGGCGAUGUGGGAUGAACCAAACAUCUGGUUAAGGUGCCUAACAUCACGCUCAUGAGAACCCACAAAAGGUGUUGGUUGAUAAAGACAGCAGGACGGUGGACAUGGAAGUCGUCAUCCGCUAAGGAGUGUGUAACAACUCACCUGCCGAAUCAACCAGCCCUGAAAAUGGAUGGCGCUGUAGCGUGAGACCUAUACCGGAUCGAUAUCGUAUAAUUUAAUAUGUAAACGGUAUCGUGUAGGAGGGUGCCGUGGUUGCUAUAAAAGGGGCUGGCGUGAGUCCAGAGUGGAGCGGCCACCGGGUACAGAUUCUUGGUAGUAGUAGCA
rnacentral:rRNA from 1 species